UGGGAAUGAUGAACUUCUCACUGGUCCGUGUUUCAGAUAAUCAGUGAUGAUUGUGAAGUUCUGACUAA
ensembl:snoRNA SNORD18 Small nucleolar RNA SNORD18